rnacentral:rRNA from 1 species
GAUGAACGCUAGCGACAGGCCUAACACAUGCAAGUCGAGGGGCAGCAUGAAAUUAGCUUGCUAAUUUUGAUGGCGACCGGCGCACGGGUGAGUAACACGUAUGCAACCUGCCUGUAAGCGGGGGAUAACCCGGAGAAAUUCGGACUAAUACCGCAUAAUAUCAUCGAAUCGCAUGUUUUGAUGUUUAAAAAUUUAUUGCUUACAUAUGGGCAUGCGUAUGAUUAGCUAGUUGGCGGGGUAACGGCCCACCAAGGCGACGAUCAUUAGGGGUUCUGAGAGGAAGGUCCCCCACAUUGGAACUGAGACACGGUCCAAACUCCUACGGGAGGCAGCAGUGAGGAAUAUUGGUCAAUGGACGCAAGUCUGAACCAGCCAUGUCGCGUGAAGGAUGACUGUCCUACGGAUUGUAAACUUCUUUUAUAUGGGGAUAAAGUGUGAGACUUGUCUCAUUUUGCAUGUACCAUAUAAAUAAGCAUCGGCUAACUCCGUGCCAGCAGCCGCCGUAAAAC